rnacentral:rRNA from 1 species
UACGUAGGGUGCGAGCGUUAAUCGGAUUUACUGGGCGUAAAGGGCGCGUAGGCGGCCUGUUAAGUCGAACGUGAAAUCCCCGGGCUCAACCCGGGAACUGCGUCCGAUACUGGCAGGCUUGAAUCCGGGAGAGGGAUGCGGAAUUCCAGGUGUAGCGGUGAAAUGCGUAGAUAUCUGGAGGAACACCGGUGGCGAAGGCGGCAUCCUGGACCGGCAUUGACGCUGAGGCGCGAAAGCCAGGGGAGCAAACGGG